CUUGUGGCAGCCAAGCGUUCA
rnacentral:snRNA from 1 species